ACGACGUCAUUCCCCCUUCCCCUGAAAUCAAAAGAAAGAAAUCCCUGAGAAUUAAAAAUCACCCAAAGAUUUGGCUCGGGAGAGAGAGAAUGGAGGAGUCGAUCUGAAGCUUUUGUGGAAGCUUAAGUUCAUUCUGCAACCACGUCGAGUCCAGUUGCGACGCUCUCAAGCAAUCCAGCACGCCGCGUAUCAAUCGCAACCGACGAUCUCAACCUCUUCGGCACCGUCUCUUUCGAAGAGCUCUUAGGUUACUGCAAUGAGGUCUACAAGAAGAACCAGUCCGAUCUCACCGAACUCGAACUUCGCCUCAAGGACUUUGGAUACAGUCCCGAAGUUGAGCUUGAUGAUGAAGAUGAGGUUCGUAGUAUAUCUUUCUUUUGAUUUCAGGGGAAGGGGAACGACAACUCCCCUUAAUGUUUUCUUUUUUUUCAGAUUUUUCAGUUCUUACGGCAGUAGUAACUGAGUAGUAACGGAAUCUUGAAUUGACAAAAAAUUGAAAGUUAGAAGACUGAAUUGGCAAAAAUGAAAGUUAGAAGAAUGAAAUGAAAAAUUAUGAAAGACAGAGGGUCAGUUUUGUAUUUUUGCCAUUAUUUUAUUAGCUACGUCAACCAACAGUGUAUUUCGUUUGUCA